GGAUAUAAUCUAGGAUCCCACACUGUAUUUAGUUGGCUUGUCUCUCUGGUGUCCCACAGUCUGUGACAGUGUUCAGUAUUUCCAUCUUUCAUGACUUGACACAUUAAAAGAGUAAUGAAGUUGCUGCAGGAUUUCAAAUAUGUAUAUUUAACUCACCACAGUCUCCCUUCAGAUGUUAUGCCACUUCUAAUAUGAUCAUCCUGAAGUCAGAAGCUGCCUCAGGGAGUCCUGCGCCUUCCUGGGACUCAGCCACUAGUCACAGCUCUUCCGGGACUGCAAAGUCCUCACCUCGAGUGCCUUGGCUGAUGCGACAAAGCGCUCCCGCGCUGA